GGCGCCCUGCAGAUGCCGGACCUGGGCACCACAGAUGCAGCUUCUCGGCGGCACCUGUGACAACGGGGCGGAGAGAAAGUGGCUAUUUCUACGCUCAGUGCUUAGAACCGUGAGCACUAAGAAUGGUUUGUAGCCAGACAUUC